rnacentral:rRNA from 1 species
ACGGAAGGCAGCAGUAGGGAAUCUUCGGCAAUGGGGGCAACCCUGACCGAGCAACGCCGCGUGAGUGAAGAAGGUUUUCGGAACGUAAAGCUCUGUUGUAAGAGAAGAACGUGUGUGAGAGUGGAAAGUUCACACAGUGAUGGUAACUUACCAGAAAGGGACGGCUAACUACGUGCCAGCAGCCGCGGUAAUACGUAGGUCCCGAGCGUUGUCCGGAUUUAUUGGGCGUAAAGCGAGCGCAGGCGGUUUAAUAAGUCUGAAGUUAAAGGCAGUGGCUUAACCAUUGUUCGCUUUGGAAACUGUUAGACUUGAGUGCAGAAGGGGAGAGUGGAAUUCCAUGUGUAGCGGUGAAAUGCGUAGAUAUAUGGAGGAACACCGGUGGCGAAAGCGGCCUACUGGGCUUUAACUGACGCUGAGGCACGAAAGCGUGGGUAGCAAACAGGAUUAGAUACCCUGGUA